GACAGAGGGUGCAAACGUUGUUCGGAAUUACUGGGCGUAAAGCGCGUGUAGGCUGCUUCGCAAGUCGGAUGUGAAAGCCCUGGGCUCAACCCAGGAAGUGCAUUCGAAACUGCAGAGCUGGAGUCCUGGAGAGGAAGGCGGAAUUCUCGGUGUAGAGGUGAAAUGCGCAGAUAUCGGAAGGAACACCUAUGGCGAAGGCAGCUCGCUGGGACGUUACUGACGCUGAGACGCGAAAGCGUGGGGAGCAAACAGG
rnacentral:rRNA from 1 species